GACGAACGCCGGCGGCGUGCUUAACACAUGCAAGUCGAACGAUGAUGCCCAGCUUGCUGGGUGGAUUAGUGGCGAACGGGUGAGUAACACGUGAGUAACCUGCCCCUGACUCUGGGAUAAGCGUUGGAAACGACGUCUAAUACUGGAUAUGAUCACUGGCCGCAUGGUCUGGUGGUGGAAAGAUUUUUUGGUUGGGGAUGGACUCGCGGCCUAUCAGCUUGUUGGUGAGGUAAUGGCUCACCAAGGCGACGACGGGUAGCCGGCCUGAGAGGGUGACCGGCCACACUGGGACUGAGACACGGCCCAGACUCCUACGGGAGGCAGCAGUGGGGAAUAUUGCACAAUGGGCGAAAGCCUGAUGCAGCAACGCCGCGUGAGGGAUGACGGCCUUCGGGUUGUAAACCUCUUUUAGUAGGGAAGAAGCGAAAGUGACGGUACCUGCAGAAAAAGCACCGGCUAACUACGUGCCAGCAGCCGCGGUAAUACGUAGGGUGCAAGCGUUGUCCGGAAUUAUUGGGCGUAAAGAGCUCGUAGGCGGUUUGUCGCGUCUGCUGUGAAAUCCCGAGGCUCAACCUCGGGCUUGCAGUGGGUACGGGCAGACUAGAGUGCGGUAGGGGAGAUUGGAAUUCCUGGUGUAGCGGUGGAAUGCGCAGAUAUCAGGAGGAACACCGAUGGCGAAGGCAGAUCUCUGGGCCGUAACUGACGCUGAGGAGCGAAAGCAUGGGGAGCGAACAGGAUUAGAUACCCUGGUAGUCCAUGCCGUAAACGUUGGGCGCUAGAUGUAGGGACCUUUCCACGGUUUCUGUGUCGUAGCUAACGCAUUAAGCGCCCCGCCUGGGGAGUACGGCCGCAAGGCUAAAACUCAAAGGAAUUGACGGGGGCCCGCACAAGCGGCGGAGCAUGCGGAUUAAUUCGAUGCAACGCGAAGAACCUUACCAAGGCUUGACAUACACCGGAAACGGCCAGAGAUGGUCGCCCCCUUGUGGUCGGUGUACAGGUGGUGCAUGGUUGUCGUCAGCUCGUGUCGUGAGAUGUUGGGUUAAGUCCCGCAACGAGCGCAACCCUCGUUCUAUGUUGCCAGCGGGUUAUGCCGGGGACUCAUAGGAGACUGCCGGGGUCAACUCGGAGGAAGGUGGGGAUGACGUCAAAUCAUCAUGCCCCUUAUGUCUUGGGCUUCACGCAUGCUACAAUGGCCGGUACAAAGGGCUGCGAUACCGUAAGGUGGAGCGAAUCCCAAAAAGCCGGUCUCAGUUCGGAUUGGGGUCUGCAACUCGACCUCAUGAAGUCGGAGUCGCUAGUAAUCGCAGAUCAGCAACGCUGCGGUGAAUACGUUCCCGGGCCU
rnacentral:rRNA from 1 species